UGCCAGCAGCCGCGGUAAUACGUAGGGGGCAAGCGUUGUCCGGAUUUAUUGGGCGUAAAGAGCGUGUAGGCGGUUAGGUAGGUCCGUUGUGAAAACUCGAGGCUCAACCUCGAGACGCCGAUGGAAACCCCCUGACUAGAGUCCGGAAGAGGAGAGUGGAAUUCCUGGUGUAGCGGUGAAAUGCGCAGAUAUCAGGAAGAACACCCGUGGCUAAGGCGGCUCUCUAGUACGGUACUGACGCUGAGACGCGAAAGCGUGGGGAGCGAACAGGAUUAGAUACCCUGGUAGUCCACGCCGUAAACGAUGGGUGCUAGGUGUGGGAGGUGUCGACUCCUUCCGUGCCGAAGCUAACGCAUUAAGCACCCCGCCUGGGGAGUACGGCCGCAAGGCUAAAACUCAAAGGAAUUGAUCGGGGGCCCGCACAAG
rnacentral:rRNA from 1 species